rnacentral:lncRNA from 1 species
UUAAUUACACUUCUUAAACACAUCUCUUGACCAGGGUGUUCUCACCAUGCCCUUUCUACAAACAAAAAGUUCCUACAAGAGUUGGAGCCAUCCUCCCCUCAUCUUCUACUUUCUGCCUUCUUCUGGGACAUGCUAUUGAUCACGAAGUAUCUUAUCCUUGAAAAAUCUCCUCUCUUCAACUCGAGUACUACUGCAGAAAGCAGCAACUUGGUGGCCUUUUAUGGAUGGGUGUUACUGAAGAAGGCAAUGUAUCGCAUCCUGUAUUACCUUCCCCUGACCUCAUAGCUUCCCAAAACAAGUAAAGAAUGAAGAUGUGGAGACUUGGAGACAGGUGGUACCUCGUGCUUCCUCCGAAGGGAGAGCCCAUUUCCUAACAGCUGGAUCAAAGGCAUGAGAUGAACAUGGAGUCCCUGAAGACGAAGAGAAGGCAUGGCUUCCAGGGAGAAAUUGUACAUUUUGAGAAUCUCUUGGUCUAUACCCUAAUGAAUAGGCCAUCAUAAAUGGAUAUCAAAGUAAAGAAAUCUGUGUAAAUGAUUUAAUAAAACAUUACCUCAGGUAUGAAAUAA